UUGGAGGGCAAGUCUGGUGCCAGCAGCCGCGGUAAUUCCAGCCCCAAUAGCGUAUAUUAAAGUUGUUGCAGUUAAAAAGCUCGUAGUUGAAUUUCGGGGUUAGUAGGUUGGUCAUGCCUCUGGUAUGUACUGGUCUCACUGAUUUCUCCUUCCUGAUGAGCCGUAAUGCCAUUAAUUUGGUGUUGCGGGGAAUUUGGACUGUUACUUUGAAAAAAUUAGAGUGUUUAAAGCAAGCUAACGCUUGAAUACAUUAGCAUGGAAUAAUGAAAUAGGACGUUCGAUCCUAUUUUGUUGGUUUCUAGGAUUGACGUAAUGAUUAAUAGGGAUAGUUGGGGGCAUUAGUAUUCAAUUGUCAGAGGUGAAAUUCUUGGAUUUAUUGAAGACUAACUACUGCGAAAGCAUUUGCCAAGGAUGUUUUCAUUAAUCAAGAACGAAAGUUAGGGGAUCGAAGACGAUCAGAUACCGUCGUAGUCUUAACCAUAAACUAUGCCGACUAGGGAUCGGAUGAUGUUAAUUUUUUAAUGACUCAUUCGGCGCCUUACGGGAAAC
rnacentral:rRNA from 1 species